rnacentral:rRNA from 1 species
ACGGGAUGCUUAGGCAUCUAGUGGCGGACGGGUGAGUAACGCGUGAGAAUCUGGCUCCAGGUCGGGGAUAACAGUCGGAAACGACUGCUAAUACCGGAUGUGCCGAGAGGUGAAAGAUUUAUUGCCUGGAGAUGAGCUCGCGUCUGAUUAGCUAGUUGGUGGUGUAAGGGACUACCAAGGCGUCGAUCAGUAGCUGGUCUGAGAGGAUGAUCAGCCACACUGGGACUGAGACACGGCCCAGACUCCUACGGGAGGCAGCAGUGGGGAAUUUUCCGCAAUGGGCGAAAGCCUGACGGAGCAAUACCGCGUGAGGGAGGAAGGCUCUUGGGUCGUAAACCUCUUUUCUCAAGGAAGAAGAAAGUGACGGUACUUGAGGAAUAAGCAUCGGCUAACUCCGUGCCAGCAGCCGCGGUAAUACGGAGGAUGCAAGCGUUAUCCGGAAUGAUUGGGCGUAAAGGGUCUGCAGGUGGAACUGAAAGUCUGCUGUUAAAGAGUUUGGCUUAACCAAAUAAAAGCGGUGGAAACUACAGAACUAGAGUGCGGUAGGGGCAAAAGGAAUUCCUGGUGUAGCGGUGAAAUGCGUAGAUAUCAGGAAGAACACCGGUGGCGAAAGCGUUUUGCUAGACCGUAACUGACACUGAGGGACGAAAGCUAGGGGAGCGAAUGGGAUUAGAUACCCCAGUAGUCCUAGCCGUAAACGAUGGAUACUAGGCGUGGCUUGUAUCGACCCGAGCCGUGCCGGAGCUAACGCGUUAAGUAUCCCGCCUGGGGAGUACGCACGCAAGUGUGAAACUCAAAGGAAUUGACGGGGGCCCGCACAAGCGGUGGAGUAUGUGGUUUAAUUCGAUGCAACGCGAAGAACCUUACCAAGACUUGACAUCCUGCGAAUCCUGGUGAAAGC